ACUCUAGUAUUGACCUCAAUCCAUAUGUGUUGAGGUGGAUUGGGGUGUAAAUUAGUUUAAAUUACACCCCAAUCCACUCAAUACAUAUGGAUUAGGGUCAAUACUAGA
rfam:Zea mays cultivar B73 chromosome 8, whole genome shotgun sequence.